GGGGAUGUGGCUCAAGUGGUAGAGUGCUCGCCUGGCAUGCACAGGGGUGCUGGGUUCGAUCUUCAGCACCACA
rnacentral:tRNA from 1 species